rnacentral:rRNA from 1 species
GGACGAACGCUGGCGGCGUGCCUAACACAUGCAAGUCGAGCGAUGAAGUUUCUUCGGGAACGGAUUAGCGGCGGACGGGUGAGUAACACGUGGGCAACCUGCCUUAUAGAGGGGAAUAGCCUUCCGAAAGGAAGAUUAAUACCGCAUAAGAUUGUAGCUUCGCAUGAAGUAGCAAUUAAAGGAGCAAUCCGCUAUGAGAUGGGCCCGCGGCGCAUUAGCUAGUUGGUGAGGUAACGGCUCACCAAGGCGACGAUGCGUAGCCGACCUGAGAGGGUGAUCGGCCACAUUGGGACUGAGACACGGCCCAGACUCCUACGGGAGGCAGCAGUGGGGAAUAUUGCACAAUGGGGGAAACCCUGAUGCAGCAACGCCGCGUGAGUGAUGACGGCCUUCGGGUUGUAAAGCUCUGUCUUUGGGGACGAUAAUGACGGUACCUGAGGAGGAAGCCACGGCUA